AAGAGUUUGAUCAUGGCUCAGGAUGAACGCUAGCGGCAGGCCUAAUACAUGCAAGACGAACGGUAAGUUGAGUAGCAAUACUUAGCCAAGAGUGUCGUACGGGUGCGUAACACGUAUGCAACCUACCCUAUACAGGAGGAUAGCCUAGGGAAACCUGGAUUAACCCUUCAUAGUAUUAUUGGAUGGCAUCAUUUGAUAAUUAAAACUGAGGUGGUAUAGGAUGGGCACGCGUCUGAUUAGUUAGUUGGCGGGGUAAUGGCCCACCAAGACGAUGAUCAGUAGGGGUUCUGAGAGGAAGAUCCCCCACACUGGCACUGAGAUACGGGCCAGACUCCUACGGGAGGCAGCAGUAGGGAAUAUUGGUCAAUGGAUGCAAGUCUGAACCAGCCAUGCCGCGUGCAGGAAGAAGGCCUUCUGGGUUGUAAACUGCUUUUGCCAGGGGAUAAAAUUUCCAUGCGUGGAAAACUGAAGGUACCUGGUGAAUAAGCCACGGCUAACUACGUG
rnacentral:rRNA from 1 species